rnacentral:rRNA from 1 species
UACGUAGGCAGCGAGCGUUGUUCGGAGUUACUGGGCGUAAAGGGUGUGUAGGCGGUUUUCUAAGUUUGGUGUGAAAUCUCCCGCUCAACCGGGAGGGUGCGCCGAAAACUGGGAGACUAGAGUGCGGGAUGGGAGAGUAGAAUUCCUGGUGUAGCGGUGAAAUGCGUAGAUAUCAGGAGGAAUACCGGUGGUGUAGACGGCUCUCUGGACCGCCACUGACGCUGAGGCACGAAAGCGUGGGGAGCAAACAGGG